rnacentral:rRNA from 1 species
GGGUGAGUAACGCGUGGAAACGUGGCUUUUGGUUCGGAACAACACAGGGAAACUUGUGCUACUUCCGGAUAAGCCCUUACGGGGAAAGAUUUAUCGCCGAAAGAUCGGCCCGCGUCUGAUUAGCUAGUUGGUAGGGUAACGGCCUACCAAGGCGACGAUCAGUAGCUGGUCUGAGAGGAUGAUCAGCCACAUUGGGACUGAGACACGGCCCAAACUCCUACGGGAGGCAGCAGUGGGGAAUAUUGGACAAUGGGGGCAACCCUGAUCCCCCCAUGCCGCGUGAGUGAUGAAGGCCCUAGGGUUGUAAAGCUCUUUUGUGCGGGAAGAUAAUGACGGUACCUCAAGAAUAAGCCCCCGGCUAACCUCUUGCCCGCAGCCGCGGUAAUACGAAGGGGGCUAGUGUUGCUCGGAAUCCACUGGGCGUAAAGGGUGCGUAAGCGGGUUUUUAAGUCAGGGGUGAAAUCCUGGAGCUCCCCCCCCAGAACCGCCUUUGAUACUUGAAUACCCUUGAGUUCCGGGAAAGGCUGAAUGG